rnacentral:lncRNA from 1 species
GUUUGUUACGGCUUGAGCUGAGCUUUCGCUCGCUGUCCACCACUGCUGUUUUGCCACCAUGGCAGACCCACCACUGACCUCCAUCCCUCCGCAUCCAGCAGGGUGUCCGCUGUGCUCCUGAUCCAGUGAGGCGCCCGUUGCCACUCCCGAUUGGGCUAAGGGCUUGCCAAUGUUCCUGCAUGGCUAAGUGCCUGGGUUCGUCCUAAUCGAGCUGAACACUAGUCACUGGGUUCCAUGGUUCUCUUCCAUGACCCACAACUUCUAAUAGAGCUAUAACAAGCACUGCAUGGCCCAAGAUUCCAUUCCUUGGAAUCCGUGAGGCCAAGAACCCCAGGUCAGAGAACACGAGGCUUGCCACCAUCUUGGAAGUGGCCCACCGCCAUUUUGGAAGUGGCCAACCACCAUCUUGGGAGCUCUGGGAGCAAGGACCCCUGGUAACAUUUUGGCGACCACGAAGGGACAUCCCAAGUGAUCCAUGCAAGGCUGGACUUAAAUGCUUCUGGGCAGAAAUCCGGAACAAUAAGGAGGCUCAUAUUGUCAACUUUUCUACUCUCAUCGUUCCUGUUACACAAUGUCUGAAAGAAAACAUUUCAAACAUUACAUCAAGUUCUUCAUUUGUUUCUUCUAUAAGCUGAGACCAUCCUUGAAAUAGACUCACUUUGGUGUAAUCAACUGCCUUGUGAAGAAGGACUUGCCUGCUUCCCUUUCCACCAUGGUUGUAAGUUUCCCGAGGCCUUCCCAGCCAUGCAGAACUGUGAGUCAAUUAAACCUUUUUCCUUUAUAAAUUACCCAAUUUCAGGUAUGUCUUCAUAGAUGCCUGAGCAGGAACUAUUAGGUUGAUGCAAAGGUAAUUGCACAUUUUGACAUUUUUUAAAGUAAUGGCAAAACCCUCAAUUACUUCUGCACUAACUAAAUAAUAUGUAUACUAUCCGGACUUCUUGGUUUUUCAGAACUUUCUCUGUUGUAAACACUCCAGUGAUAGUAUAAUCUCAUUGCUAUUUUACUUUUAGAAGUUUAUUUGCCAAAAUCCAUACACAAAAGAAGAAGAUAGAAAUGAUUAGUGCUGAAUUGGUUUACAGUUAUAUCAGAGGAAAUCAUAAUAUAAGUGAAGAUCUCAUAAGGAUAGAAUCAUAUCAAUAAUGUUUAUAUCUUCCGUGAAUUAUUAUGGAGUUU